ACCGACUUUUUUGCUCUCUCUUCUCUUCUCCGGGUUUUGCCCUCACUUUUUUUUCUUAACUAUGGCUCUGCGAUUCAGAAUCCUCUCUUUUUUGGGUUUUUUUGCUCGACGCAGAGAGAGAAGAGUGCAGAGGAGAGUUUGUUUCCGCUGUGCCCAGUUGUUAUUGCUGAUGAAAAACAUCCCCGGAGAUUGGGGUUUUGAUUGCUGCAUCUCUUAUGGCGAUCUGGAGUUUUCAGCAAAAGAAGAAGGGGUUUUAUUUUCAGCAAAAGCAAACUUCCAGAUACUUUUCAUCAAGUGAAGAGCAAACGUGAAAGAAGGAAAGAAGACAAAGCUUUGACAAUGCAAUUGUUGGCUGUCCCUUGCAGCCAAAAUGGAGGAGAUUAAUGUCCCAAUCUCCCUUGAUUUACAGGAAUUGACUUCUUGGAAUUUAAACCUUCAGAGUUUGCAGCAGCAGUGACCAUUUCUGUAACGGGAGGAAGCAUAGCAUUAGAUUACACUUAGAAUUCAAUCUCGCUUAUCAAUGGUGAUUUGGAUGAAGCAAGGAAAGAGCAAAAGUCAAAACUUUGAACAUCAAAGACAAGAUAAUGUUGACUGGCAAGAGACUCCAGUUGCAGGUUGGAGCUAUUGUUGGACUUGAUCAAUAUGUCAACUACUUCAAAAUUCAGCUGAGGAUACAACAGAGGAUUAAAAGCGCAGAGCUCAGGAUGUUAACCAAGGAGCAAGAAAAUGAACUUCCGAACUUUACACCAUUCAUUCCAUUGAUGUCUCCCGUGUUGUAGUGAAGUUGAUCCCAUAGUAGCAUCCUUCUCCGCAGGAGCAGUUGGACUGAUCUCAGCACUGAUGAUGGUUGAAAUAAUAAGCAAAACACUGCAGGAGCAUCAGAGAUGUAAAUAUUGUCUUGGAACUGCUUAUGGCUCAUCUUCUGAUGCAAUGACUAUAAUCCAACAAAGAUCUCCUGUUGUUAAGGGGAUGAUGAUUGAAUUUGCUAAGAACUCAGUUGAUUAUGUUACUGCCAGCGCCCAGCGGAAAGAAGCAUGUUAUUGUGUUUUCAAGCUUAAACUUUCAGGGGUGGCAGAGAAUUAAUGUACCUCCUUUGUGCUCUAUAGCUUUACAUGACUUCUUCUGUUAGUAAAUAUGCAAGCAUUCUUUUUUAAUAUAAGUCGAUACUUACUUGCAAAGAGUUAGAUUCUUUUGUAAUGUGUCAAAUGACAAAUU